rnacentral:lncRNA from 1 species
GAACAUCCUGCUGCUGCUGACGGUCCACCUCUUCGGGAUGGAGAUGCUGUCGACACUGGUGUCUCGGUCUGUUUCCAUGGCUACCACGCGCACACCGCUGGAACAUGCGUGUGGACGACUGUGGUCCGGAGAUGGAGGUGGCCGAGAGGCGGAGAGCCGACCCUCGCCGCGGCUGGCGGAGGGGCUCCCUUCCUGCUCUGCGGGUGGCGCCCAGCCCGCGCAGGGGUCCCCGGGCGGCCGAAGGCUGUGCGCGCCCGGGGCCGCCCUCCCCCUGCGCUGGCCCGCCGGCUGGGUCUGCGCCGGCCGCCCCGGGCCGCGGGGUGGGCGCCGGGCAGCGCGGGCAGGGGCAGGCCGCCCACCUCUCCCUCGGUCCUGGAAGCUUCUGAAGCACCCACGGCGCUCCCGAGGCCCGCCCGCGCCAGGGUGGGGAGGACGGACAGGCAGGCCCCGCGGUGGCCCCGUCCAGUCCGGGCCACAGGGAUCAACAGGUCAUCACCUUACACUGUGACCGGGGCGGAGCAGCCCGGGGGCCGGGCAGCAGGGUGCGCGGCCAGGAGGGAUUCACGUCCCCAAUCCGAUGAGUCCAACACGGUGACCGCCAGGGCCGCCUGCGCAGGGACACGGCCCGCUCGGGCUCUCCGUUCACACUCGCGUGGCUGGCGACGAGGGCAGCUCCCCGGGCACGGGUGGGAGGUCGGCUCGGCCCGGCCGGGGCCGCCGGGCAGGGGCACAGCGGGGGCGCGGCCGGCGGUUGGGGGACAGGGCCGGCCCCGAGGCCCCGAGGCCUCCCCUCUCCCCGCGGCCGCCGGCGGCUCGGCGCGCCCCGGGCCAGGGCGGUGCUCGGGGCCCAGGCCGCGGGCGGCGGGGCGGCGGGGAGGCCGGGCCAGCCUAGCGCCGCCGUCCGCGUCCAGGUCCGGGUCCUGCUUCCCUGGGCCCUCGUCCCCGCGCCAGCCGCCCUGCCCUGCCGGCGGAGGUCGUGGCAGCGCCGGACUCCGUUCCCAGGCGCUGGCGGGGUGCACACGCGCCUCCCGGGGCACCAGGGGGAGCGGAGCUGGCGCCCUGGCCACCGGGCCGGAGCCCCUGCUCGCCUCUACCCUCGGUGUCGGAACCCAUCUCGUCGGGUCACCUCCGCGCCCAGCCCGGCCUCCCCUCCGCGCUCAAACUGCGCUUCACCAGCUCUGCCGGCGCCCGCUCGCUGUCCUUCACCGCUUCUGCCCCCGGCGGGCAGCUGAGACCCGGCCGUGA